rnacentral:snoRNA from 2 species
AAGACUACACUUUCAGGAAUCAUUUCUAUAGUUUGUUACUAGAGAAGUUUCUCUGAAUACGUAGAGCAAAAUAUAUA